AAGACUGUAUCUUCAGGGAUCAUUCCUUACCAGAGUAGUUUCUCAGAAUGCAAAGAGCACAGUGAACCUGAGGAGGGGGUGCCAGUGUUCGCUUUCCAGGAUGAAGCCUGCUCUUGGUGUUGCUUUGCUGCAGCUGCCAUUUGUCACUGAUGAUUGUUCUUUCCUUCCUUUUGCGGGAGCAAGAAGAGGAGGGUGCUGCCUGAGUGGU
rnacentral:snoRNA from 1 species